CUUCGCUGGGAGUGAACUAGCCUGAGUUGUUUUGGACUUUACGAACUAAGCUUCUCUAGUUUAUUGAACUUUUCGUUUAGUUCCUUAUUUUCCAUUUCCUGAGGUGUUUUCGUUGGGUUACGUUUUUGAUCGAUGGUGGUGGUCUUGUAACCCUCGAACUCCUACUAAACGGGUCGAUCAAAUGCAAUGAAAGAUGCUCCCCAGAAUCCAUAGGACCAACCUCCUGAGAGGGUGGAUUUUCCAGUACAACUCGUCUACCACCUGUGGUUCAGCGAUUUCUGUAUUAAAAUGUGCAUUGGGACGCCGCUCAUGUUUGUCCACCACGCGACGGUUGUCUAAUGGUUAUCCAGGGCUACCACUGGGAGGUGCGAGUCAACUUGAUGCAGACAUGGGCAAGGAUCAUCACUGGCCUUUACCGAGUUAAAGGCGAUCAGGAUCUCUACCUUGUGCAACUUAAGCCAUUCGACCUCGAAGCGUGUAUAUAUG